rnacentral:lncRNA from 1 species
AUAAAUAAAGGCAACAGUAGUAUACCGAUGUUCAAAACUCAUAAAUCGAUAGACAAAAACAAAUCCGGGUCAUAAACCAAAACCGAGGGAAACGCAUUAAAUACAAGAAAAUGACGACACAACAUUAAAAUGUAACACACACAGAAACGAACUAAGCAUUGGACAAAAUCCGAUGCGAAUAUCAAAUAUAACAUCAAAACUAAAUACAUGAAUUUGGGAUAGAAAAGUACCGUGACACGUCUUAUAAUGAUGUGAAUUCACACUCAAAUAUAAGAGGAAACAAAC